rnacentral:rRNA from 1 species
GAGGCCGAAAGGCGUAGUCGAUGGGAAACGGGUUAAUAUUCCCGUACUUGGUGUUACUGCGAAGGGGGGACGGAGAAGGCUAUGUUGGCCGGGCGACGGUUGUCCCGGUUUAAGCGUGUAGGUGUGUGUUCCAGGUAAAUCCGGUUCACUUUAACACUGAGGCGUGAUGACGAGGCACUACGGUGCUGAAGCAACAAAUGCCCUGCUUCCAGGAAAAGCCUCUAAGCAUCAGGUAACAUCAAAUCGUACCCCAAACCGACACAGGUGGUCAGGUAGAGAAUACCAAGGCGCUUGAGAGAACUCGGGUGAAGGAACUAGGCAAAAUGGUGCCGUAACUUCGGGAGAAGGCACGCUGACACGUAGGUGAAGUGAUUUACUCAUGGAGCUGAAGUCAGUCGAAGAUACCAGCUGGCUGCAACUGUUUAUUAAAAACACAGCACUGUGCAAACACGAAAGUGGACGUAUACGGUGUGACGCCUGCCCGGUGCCGGAAGGUUAAUUGAUGGGGUCAGCGCAAGCGAAGCUCCUGAUCGAAGCCCCGGUAAACGGCGGCCGUAACUAUAACGGUCCUAAGGUAGCGAAAUUCCUUGUCGGGUAAGUUCCGACCUGCACGAAUGGCGUAAUGAUGGCCAGGCUGUCUCCACCCGAGACUCAGUGAAAUUGAACUCGCUGUGAAGAUGCAGUGUACCCGCGGCAAGACGGAAAGACCCCGUGAACCUUUACUAUAGCUUGACACUGAACAUUGAGCCUUGAUGUGUAGGAUAGGUGGGAGGCUUUGAAGUGUGGACGCCAGUCUGCAUGGAGCCGACCUUGAAAUACCACCCUUUAAUGUUUGAUGUUCUAACGUGGACCCGUGAUCCGGGUUGCGGACAGUGUCUGGUGGGUAGUUUGACUGGGGCGGUCUCCUCCUAAAGAGUAACGGAGGAGCACGAAGGUUGGCUAAUCCUGGUCGGACAUCAGGAGGUUAGUGCAAUGGCAUAAGCCAGCUUGACUGCGAGCGUGACGGCGCGAGCAGGUGCGAAAGCAGGUCAUAGUGAUCCGGUGGUUCUGAAUGGAAGGGCCAUCGCUCAACGGAUAAAAGGUACUCCGGGGAUAACAGGCUGAUACCGCCCAAGAGUUCAUAUCGACGGCGGUGUUUGGCACCUCGAUGUCGGCUCAUCACAUCCUGGGGCUGAAGUAGGUCCCAAGGGUAUGGCUGUUCGCCAUUUAAAGUGGUACGCGAGCUGGGUUUAGAACGUCGUGAGACAGUUCGGUCCCUAUCUGCCGUGGGCGCUGGAGAACUGAGGGGGGCUGCUCCUAGUACGAGAGGACCGGAGUGGACGCAUCACUGGUGUUCGGGUUGUCAUGCCAAUGGCACUGCCCGGUAGCUAAAUGCGGAAGAGAUAAGUGCUGAAAGCAUCUAAGCACGAAACUUGCCCCGA